rnacentral:rRNA from 1 species
UACGGGGGGGGUAAGCGUUGUUCGGAAUUACUGGGCGUAAAGCGUGCGCAGGCGGUGAUGUAAGACAGGUGUGAAAUCCCCGGGCUUAACCUGGGAACUGCAUUUGUGACUGCAUCGCUGGAGUGCGGCAGAGGGGGAUGGAAUUCCGCGUGUAGCAGUGAAAUGCGUAGAGAUGCGGAGGAACACCGGUGGCGAAGGCGGCCUGCUGGGCAGUAGCUGACACUGAGGCGCGACAGCGUGGGGAGCAAACAGG